AAUCAUACAGGGACAUCCAGU
rnacentral:miRNA from 4 species